rnacentral:rRNA from 2 species
GGACUACUGGGGUAUCUAAUCCCGUUUGCUCCCCUGGCUUUCGCGCCUCAGCGUCAGUAGAGGUCCAGCAGCCCGCUUUCGCCACCGGCGUUCCUUCCGAUAUCUACGCAUUUCACCGCUCCACCGGAAGUUCCGGCUGCCCCUACCUCCCUCCAGACCGGCAGUAUCGGGGGCCCUUUUCCGGUUGAGCCGAAAGAUUUCACCCCCGACUGGCCGACCCGCCUACGCGCCCUUUAAGCCCAGUGAAUCCGAACAACGUUUGCACGGUUCGUCUUACCGCGGCGGCUGGCAC